rnacentral:rRNA from 1 species
GGGAAACCGAGUCUUAACCGGGCGUUAAGUUGCAGGGUAUAGACCCGAAACCCGGUGAUCUAGCCAUGGGCAGGUUGAAGGUUGGGUAACACUAACUGGAGGACCGAACCGACUAAUGUUGAAAAAUUAGCGGAUGACCUGUGGCUGGGGGUGAAAGGCCAAUCAAACCGGGAGAUAGCUGGUUCUCCCCGAAAGCUAUUUAGGUAGCGCCUCGUGAAUUCAUCUCCGGGGGUAGAGCACUGUUUCGGCUAGGGGGCCAUCCCGGCUUACCAACCCGAUGCAAACUGCGAAUACCGGAGAAUGUUAUCACGGGAGACACACGGCGGGUGCUAACGUCCGUCGUGAAGAGGGAAACAACCCAGACCGCCAGCUAAGGUCCCAAAGUCAUGGUUAAGUGGGAAACGAUGUGGGAAGGCCCAGACAGCCAGGAUGUUGGCUUAGAAGCAGCCAUCAUUUAAAGAAAGCGUAAUAGCUCACUGGUCGAGUCGGCCUGCGCGGAAGAUGUAACGGGGCUAAACCAUGCACCGAAGCUGCGGCAGCGACGCUGAUGCGUUGUUGGGUAGGGGAGCGUUCUGUAAGCCUGCGAAGGUGGCCUGUGAGGGUUGCUGGAGGUAUCAGAAGUGCGAAUGCUGACAUAAGUAACGAUAAAGCGGGUGAAAAGCCCGCUCGCCGGAAGACCAAGGGUUCCUGUCCAACGUUAAUCGGGGCAGGGUGAGUCGACCCCUAAGGCGAGGCCGAAAGGCGUAGUCGAUGGGAAACGGGUUAAUAUUCCCGUACUUGGUGUUACUGCGAAGGGGGGACGGAGAAGGCUAUGUUGGCCGGGCGACGGUUGUCCCGGUUUAAGCGUGUAGGUGUGUGUUCCAGGUAAAUCCGGUUCACUUUAACACUGAGGCGUGAUGACGAGGCACUACGGUGCUGAAGCAACAAAUGCCCUGCUUCCAGGAAAAGCCUCUAAGCAUCAGGUAACAUCAAAUCGUACCCCAAACCGACACAGGUGGUCAGGUAGAGAAUACCAAGGCGCUUGAGAGAACUCGGGUGAAGGAACUAGGCAAAAUGGUGCCGUAACUUCGGGAGAAGGCACGCUGACACGUAGGUGAAGUGAUUUACUCAUGGAGCUGAAGUCAGUCGAAGAUACCAGCUGGCUGCAACUGUUUAUUAAAAACACAGCACUGUGCAAACACGAAAGUGGACGUAUACGGUGUGACGCCUGCCCGGUGCCGGAAGGUUAAUUGAUGGGGUCAGCGCAAGCGAAGCUCCUGAUCGAAGCCCCGGUAAACGGCGGCCGUAACUAUAACGGUCCUAAGGUAGCGAAAUUCCUUGUCGGGUAAGUUCCGACCUGCACGAAUGGCGUAAUGAUGGCCAGGCUGUCUCCACCCGAGACUCAGUGAAAUUGAACUCGCUGUGAAGAUGCAGUGUACCCGCGGCAAGACGGAAAGACCCCGUGAACCUUUACUAUAGCUUGACACUGAACAUUGAGCCUUGAUGUGUAGGAUAGGUGGGAGGCUUUGAAGUGUGGACGCCAGUCUGCAUGGAGCCGACCUUGAAAUACCACCCUUUAAUGUUUGAUGUUCUAACGUGGACCCGUGAUCCGGGUUGCGGACAGUGUCUGGUGGGUAGUUUGACUGGGGCGGUCUCCUCCUAAAGAGUAACGGAGGAGCACGAAGGUUGGCUAAUCCUGGUCGGACAUCAGGAGGUUAGUGCAAUGGCAUAAGCCAGCUUGACUGCGAGCGUGACGGCGCGAGCAGGUGCGAAAGCAGGUCAUAGUGAUCCGGUGGUUCUGAAUGGAAGGGCCAUCGCUCAACGGAUAAAAGGUACUCCGGGGAUAACAGGCUGAUACCGCCCAAGAGUUCAUAUCGACGGCGGUGUUUGGCACCUCGAUGUCGGCUCAUCACAUCCUGGGGCUGAAGUAGGUCCCAAGGGUAUGGCUGUUCGCCAUUUAAAGUGGUACGCGAGCUGGGUUUAGAACGUCGUGAGACAGUUCGGUCCCUAUCUGCCGUGGGCGCUGGAGAACUGAGGGGGGCUGCUCCUAGUACGAGAGGACCGGAGUGGACGCAUCACUGGUGUUCGGGUUGUCAUGCCAAUGGCACUGCCCGGUAGCUAAAUGCGGAAGAGAUAAGUGCUGAAAGCAUCUAAGCACGAAACUUGCCCCGAGAUGAGUUCUCCCUGAGACUUUAGGUCUCCUGAAGGAACGUUGAAGACGACGACGUUGAUAGGCCGGGUGUGUAAGCGCAGC